UGUUCUUCAGUCAUACAUGUCUUAGGUUCAAGUAUAUUAUUUCAAUCUCGUUUUGUUUAUUGGUUUUGAUUGGGCUUAUCUGUGGUGAUUAAUUUUAUUAUUUUUUUGUGUCUUUUGGUUCUGUCUUUUGCGUGCUGAGAUGAAGGGAUCAAAUCGCGUUUGAUAUGUUCUGUGGAAUCUGAGAUGGCUGGAUCAAACGUGCUUAAGCACGGGUCAUUUGACAGAGGAAUACGCAGCAUCAAAGGUAGCGGGAAAGGAGAGGCUACAUUGGAGAGGAGCAUCACGGGUUCUUUUAUUUGUGUCAGUUUGUAUUGUAUCAGUUUGUGUCAGUUUGGCUUGUCUCUGCUUGAUUCAGUGUGUCACGGGUUUCAGUGUGCAUGUGCAUCACGCAGUUUGUAUUAUUUGAUCACACAAUACCAACUACUUGAACAAAUAAACACACGUUUAACACAUUACCAAUACCAAUACCAACUACAUUUGAUCAUUUGUAUUAUAUAAUUCACUGCUAUUGCUCUCUACUUCUAACAUCACGCAAACUCAUCUACUCUCUUUUUCUAACAAAACCAAAUUCAUCUUCUCUCUAUUCUCUCUACUUGUAUCAAGCAUACUCAUCUUCUUCUUUUUUCCUCUCUUUGUUCACAAGUUUAUAAAACUCUUUAAUCAUUUCUAUGGCUUCUUCUUCUCAAAACACAUUUGAUGAAUCAUCUGAUGAUACAUUUGAUGACAUAUUUGAUCAAAAAUUUGAUGAAAAAUUUGAUCAAUUCUUUGAUCAAGCGUUUGAGAAUUUAAAUAUUAGUGGUGGUCAAAAAAAAAAAAGAAAACCCCGAGCUUAUAUCGAAA